AUAAACACUGUACCCAAAUCCACGUUUUACAAUGCUCCUGGGAAAUGGGUAGGCCUCCACCUAUAGUCCUUCACAGUUUUACAGGUGUGAUAUAUUUAUUUAUUUACAUAGAUCACAUACAUAAAUAAAUAUGUUAGCUGUAGGUAGCGUUGAGAUCAAAUUCCCAUAUUCUAUUGCUACUAAACAUAUAUCAUGUUUUCCUCAUUUGCUCUGUAGGAGGUUCGUCAUAUGAAGGACAUUCAAGUGGAUGUGACCCCGAACCUGCAAUAGGGGCUCAGUGAGGUGACAGACAUCCUGUAAUGGAUCUCCAGCUAGUGUCUGAGGACCUGGAGAAGGCUGUGUCUACAGCUGUGGGGCAGGACAAGUAUGGUAUAGCAGGUAACCAACCCCACCCGGGUCUUACCCCCUAGGACUUACCCUUUGCUACCGGCUACCACCGGUCGUAAUACAAUGGGACUACUGAAUAAGCUCAGGCUUUCUAGAUUCGAAUUGACACAACCCGUACAAUUGGUGACACCGAACGUGAUCUGGUGAAGGACUUCGCUGGACAUUGGUGUGCCAGCCGAUUGGCCAGUACUGUCGUCGGACGCUGUCGUCGGACGGUGUGUCUCACAAAUCCUGACCGGUCAACUAAAAAAGGUGCUGCCAAAACCACAGAGGUCCCAGACGAACUUGAGCCAGACACACUCCUCUUCCACCCCUGGACCGAGCCUGCCACCCACCACCACUGUGUCAAAUCCCAUUCAGGUGCAGGUCUAAACCAAACUAGUGGUCUGGCUGAUGUGUGGUGGAUAUGUGGACCCAAAAGAGUACUGAGACCCAUUCUUAGAGGAGACUGGCAAGGUACGUGUGCUCUGACCAGUUUGAUAAUUCCACUGACCAUUGUUGAUGUUACUGCUGAACAGCUGUUGGGUUCUGUAUCCAGGGGGCCUGAAACAUUCCAUCCCAUGGGAGACAUAGACGUAGUGCUCCAUGGACGGAGGAUGUAGUUGACAGCCUCCAGUAUUUAAGCUGCAGUAGUUUAUGUGUCUGGGGGCUAGGGUCAGUUUGUUAUAUCUGGAGUACUUCUCCUGUCCUAUUCGGUGUCCUGUGUGAAUCUAAGUGUGCGUUCUCUAAUUCUCUCCUCUCUUUCUUUCUCUCUCUCGGAGGACCUGAGCCCUAGGACCAUGCCCCAGGACUACCUGACAUGAUGACUCCUUGCUGUCCCCAGUCCACCUGGCCGUGCUGCUGCUCCAGUUUCAACUGUUCUGCCUUAUUAUUAUUGACCAUGCUGGUCAUUUAUGAACAUUUGAACAUUUUGACCAUGUUCUGUUAUAAUCUCCACCCGGCACAGCCAGAAGAGGACUGGCCACCCCACAUAGCCUGGUUCCUCUCCAGGUUUCUUCCUAGGUUUUGGGCUUUCUAGGGAGUUUUUCCUAGCCACCGUGCUUCUACACCUGCAUUGCUUGCUGUUUGGGGUUUUAGGCUGGGUUUCUGUACAGCACUUUGAGAUAUCAGCUGAUGUACGAAGGGCUAUAUAAAUACAUUUGAUUUGAUUUGAUUUUACAUACACAAUAAUCUGUUGGGUGUGCCGGUGGGGGUUCCUCAUGAGUUUCAGGCCUUGGGUAGGAAUGAUGGACUCUGGCACUUACUACCUAUUAUAGGUCCAGCCAUAGUGGAUGCAAGACAGACUGCAUGGAUAAAUUAUAUCUACUAUAAUCAACAGCGUUUUGUGAAUUACUCCCGUGAUGCACUCACUGGUAUGUCUGAACAGCUGGAGGCCACAUCUAGGGUUGCCAGACAGAAUAGACUUGCUUUGGAUAUGCUUCUUGCCAGUCAGAGGGGUGUCUGUAAGAUGUUUGGUGAACAAUGUUGCACGUUUAUUCCUAAUAACACCAGUCCAGAUGGUAGUAUAUCUAAGGCCCUUAGUGGGCUUGAUGCACUAUCUGCUGAGAUGAGGACCAUGGCGGGGGUGGAGGAGUCUGGACUGUUCUCUUGGUUGGGAGCCUGGUUUGGUAAGUACACUGAUAUGGUGGUUACUGGAUUUCUGACCCUAAUUCUUGUAUUUUUAUUAUUGAUGUGUUGUGCUGCUUGCAUCAUACCGUGUUUUAAGAAGUCUGUUACAGAUGUGAAGGCUUCAGGCAUGAUGCCUUUGCUUGAUGCUCCAGUUGGAGAUGCUGAUACUGAAUCAAGCUUUCAGGGGAGGAUGAGACUGACUGAGGAUGACCCAUGGUAUGCUGUGGGUGAGGUAGUAGAAUAAAUAUUACGUUUUUGUUUUAUGAUAAGUUCUUUCCAGUAUGUUUGUUCUCCCUGUUGUGAAGGUUUGGAGUCCCUGGGUGGCAUGAAGCCCAACUGGUACAGGAUAGGAGUAGCUGAGAGGACCAGAUGGUUUAUAAUGCUUUGCUCUGCUUUGCUUUACUGUUUUCCAUGACCAAAGUUGUAUCCUAUAUCUUACAUGUCAAUAAACAAAGUGUUAUCCUGUUUUUGACCCUUAUGGGUGUCAAAA